rnacentral:tRNA from 1 species
GGGGAUGUAGCUCAGUGGUAGACUGCAUGCUUUGCAUGUGUGAGGACUUGGGUUCAGGUCCCAUCUUCUCCA